rnacentral:rRNA from 1 species
UACGUAGGGUGCGAGUGUUGUCCGGAAUUAUUGGGCGUAAAGAGCUUGUAGGCGGUUUGUCGCGUCUGCUGUGAAAUCUCAAGGCUCAACCUUGAGCUUGCAGUGGGUACGGGCAGACUAGAGUGUGGUAGGGGAGACUGGAAUUCCUGGUGUAGCGGUGAAAUGCGCAGAUAUCAGGAGGAACACCGAUGACGAAGGCAGGUCUCUGGGCCACUACUGACGCUGAGAAGCGAAAGCAUGGGGAGCGAACAGG